AUGGAGUCACAGACCCAGGUCCUCAUAUCCCUGCUGCUUUGGGUGUCUGUUGCCAGUGCAGACAUUGUUGUGACCCAGUCUCCAUCCUCCCUGGCUCUGUCAGCAGGAGAGAAGGUCACCAUCAGCUGCAGGUCCAGUCAGAGACUUUCAUACAGCAAAGAUCCAAAGAACUAUGUGGCCUGGUACCAGCAAAAACCAAGGCAGUCCCCUAAGCUGCUGAUCUACUAUACAUCCUCUAUGGAAAAAGGGGUCUUUGAUAGCUUCAUAGGCAGUGGAUCUCAGAAAGAUUUUACUCUCACCAUCAGGAAAGUGCAGGCAGAAGACCUGGCAGUUUAUUACUGUCAACAGGGUUAUAACAAUGUUCCCACAGUGCUUCAGCCUCCAACAAAAUCCAACUUGAGAGUCUCACCAGCUGCCUUCAGCAUUCACAGUCCUGGCCCUGCACAUUUCCCUCUUCUGUGUGAUAGCAGGUGUGUUUAA